UUGCAUCAGUUGUAGGAGCUGGCUCUUGUACUUCACAUUGAUUCAUUAUUACCGUUAUAUCAGCCGUGGAAACAAUGCGGUGCCGAACGCCGUCUGGACCGAUUAUGAUGAUCUGUCCUUCUUUUGUCCAGCACUUCGAGACUCCAAAACGCUGCCUUGCGGACAUGAAUGCUUCGUGGCGACUUUUUGUUAAAAAUUCCGAUAGUGUGAUGCCAGUAUUUUUUAAAUUAGUUUUGGAGUACCAGAUUUUAUUUCGCAAUGCAAGAUCAUUAAACUUUAUAAGAAUUGGUCUUGGUUUACCAGCAGCCAAGCGGCCCAUGCGUUGGCUUCGACUGACAGCAGUGCACUCUAACUCAGGAAUCUUGAUAUGAUCAGACAAGGCUUUGACAGCGGCUGAUGUUGUAUUCUCAUUAGAUGUCUCAGAUGACAGCAGAAACUGGAGUUACGUACGAUUUAGUAGAAAUAUUAAUAUGAGAGGACUUUUACUGGCAGGUAUUAUGAACCUUUAGCACAUAUCACUCAUAUAUACUGAUAUUUAUAUAUUUAAUUUAAAUAUAAAAACAGAGAGCUCACA